CACGUAGGGUGCGAGCGUUGUCCGGAAUUAUUGGGCGUAAAGAGCUCGUAGGCGGUGUGUCGCGUCGGCCGUGAAAACCUGCAGCUUAACUGUGGGCUUGCGGUCGAUACGGGCAGACUGGAGUACUGCAGGGGAGACUGGAAUUCCUGGUGUAGCGGUGGAAUGCGCAGAUAUCAGGAGGAACACCGGUGGCGAAGGCGGGUCUCUGGGCAGUAACUGACGCUGAGGAGCGAAAGCGUGGGGAGCGAACAGG
rnacentral:rRNA from 1 species